UUUAAAGUGCUUUAAUAUAUUUUCUACAAUUUAGUCUAAUCUUGCAGUUAUAAGAUAAUACAAAAUAUUUUCAUGUACAAUUGAAGCACUCGCAACUUAACGCUAUAGCGUGUAUAUGAUAGUUGCUGCCGAUUACAUCGAUCCAAUGCCGAAAGAACAUCAGAUGUUUUUUUCUCAUGGAAUAUCUUUCUCAUGAAAAAUUUUGAAAUAAAAGUUACGCACGCGCAUAAACUUAUCAAUAGGUCAUUCAGUUUUGUUCUUUCAUGAGGUGCAGACGCAAGUUACCAUUAAGAAUAUUCAAAAUAGAAAAAUUAUUUAUUAUCAGAUUGUAAUGUAAGACAUAUAUUAUUUAUCGUGAAAUAAUUUUAGUUUUUAUGUAUUUUCUUAUAUGUCAACGUUUUCGUCAUUUUCUGUUAAGAACUAAAAUAUAUUAGAAUAUAAUAAUGUAUGUACAUUGUGCGUGCGUGCGUGCGUGCGUGCGCGCGCGCGCGUGUGUGUGUGCGAGCGUUCGUGCGUGCGAGCGUUCGUGCGUGCGAUCGUUCGUGCGUGCGAGCGUUCGUGCGUGCGUGCGUGCGUGUGUGCGUGCGCGUAUAUUGUUACGCGCACCGCCCGAUAUACUUUUUGACCCGAGUCAGCUGUCCGAUUACGAAUAUCGAUCGGCGGCAGCAGGCAACUAAUGCUAAGCAACAAAAUGAACAACUAGUUGAAAAGAGAUCGCAGGCUUAUUCGGACGUGUCUCAACAUUACUCUGUACUUGUUCUGAAUAAAGUUCUUUGGUUCGUUCGGAAAAGUAAAUGUGUGUUUUCUCUUCCGUUUGAAAAAUGGCAGAAAAUAAUAUAGAGUCGUUGAACGCGGAGUGAAGAACAGAGAGGUGGGUUGUACGAUUGCGAGUAGAGCGGACACGGAUUACUAGGUCACAUUUGGCGAAUAUAAUAAAUUUGAGAGUUUAACCAUAUGAAUCGAGAGGAUUCAUUAAACUUCUUUUGUCUCAAAAGUUAUGAUUACUUACACACUAUAGAUUUAAAAGCGAUUUUUGAUUAUAUAAAAGGAAUUGUGAAGAAUUUUAUAAGAAAUAAGAAGUAGCUGACGAUUGAAAAAAAAAUAUUUACAAGAACACCAGAGUGAUAAUAAGGACAAAGAACGGUUUGACUGAAGUUUUUAGUACGACGAAGGGAAUUAAACAAGAAUGUAUCAUGAAUCGUCUGCUUUAAUUUUAAUUUGUAUAUAGCGAAUCUAUAUGGAUACUUGGGAGAAAGAGGAAUAAGAUGUUUCCUAAAAUUAGAAAACGAGAGGAUUUAGUCACUAGCGUAUACAUAUAACAAAGGUGAUUGUAUUCAAUAGAAAUGGGAAAGAGAAGGAAAAAUGGAAGUGGGAAAAUGAGGAGUUAGAAAAGAUUUGGAAAUUCUUCUCCAGAAUAAAAGAAUACGCAUUGCUACCAGUCCGUGGAGUGGAGUUUCCUCCAAAAACGGGAAAAAUUCUUAAUUUGCUGUCACAUCGUAUAACAAUGUUUACUUAAUAUAAAAGAUCUACGGUUUAUACUUACAAAAUUCGUAUUUACAGACUAGUAGACGACGAGAACAAAAAGUAUUGAGUUUUGAAAAUUAGAUUUUAGUGCCCAAGAUGAAAUUGUGAAACAAAAAUUUAGGUUAUAUACGCGUAAAAAGUCGAUAAGUAGAGCAAUAAAAAAAAAUAUUUUUUGUUCUCGAUAUAAAGUUCAAUUCACAGAUGGAUAUUAAUAUGUGUAUUUUGAUUCUGGAAAAGAAUUUCCAAAUGUAUAAAAAAAAUAUAUACACAGAAAGAAAAUGCUGUUGUAUCAAUUAAAUCAGUGUAAUUGAAAUUAAUAUUAUUAAAGUAACCAUCAAUAUUAAUGAACGAAAAUAAGCAAUAAUUGUUUUAAUAAUCGUGACAGUUGGUUUAAUAAUAUCAAUGCUUUUGGAAAAUGUAAUUGAAUGAUCGAUAAAUUUAUAUAUUUCAAUUACAUAUUUUUUUAUUAAAAUUACAUAUGCAAUUAAUAGUUUUGUUUAUAUGUAGUUGAAUUCUAUGUAAUUCAUAUAAUUAUGUCUGUUGUCAAUUCAACUAUGUAAAAUAAUAAAAACAAAUCAACCGCAGAGUUGAGGGUACUUUAAUUAAUUCAAAAGCAUUACUUUUUCUUAAUUUAAAUACAAUGUAUUUUAUUUGUAUAUUUUUUAUAUAUUAGAACAAGAAUUUGUCAGAUGUUAUAUUGACUCCUUAUUGCAUAUAUUAUACAAUUAUAUCUUUAGAAGAAAUGGAAAUGUGUUUAUUUUAAUUACAUAUGAACUUGAUACAAUCAACACAUGUAAUUAUUAAUGUUGUUGUGUAUAUGUAGAUAAAAAUAUUAUUAAGUAUACGUUAUAAUUGCAUCAAGCGUAUGUGUAAUAAUUAUAAAAUCUUUUUACUCCCGGUAAAUGAAUUAAUACAUAUGAUUCAAUAAUAUUGAAGUAAAAUAUAUCAACAAUACAAACAUAAAAUAUAUCAUUCAAGUAAUGCUAUCAACUCAAUUACGUGAAAUAAUUAAAACAAAACAACCAAAAAGUUAAUGCUAUUGUAAUUUAUACAAAAACAUUAUGGUAGAAUGGAAAUAAGAUGCAUUUAAUGUUUAAUAUUGUUAAACAUUGGUUCAAAUCAUUUAUGUAUUGUGUCAAUAAUAAAUAGGUUUGUGUGAAGUAUAUUUUAUUCUUAGGAUGGCAUUCUUCUCACUCAGCGCUACGUAGCGUGUCAUUUCGUAAACAACAUCCACUGUUUUAUGAAUAAAAAUAGUUCGUCAAGAGCGCGGAAGAAAGCGAGAUUUUGCCAUCGACAUAUAAUACUAAACUGAAAUAUGUCAGUCUAUAAAAGAGACUGAGGAGGAUAGAAUUAUGAAAACUCUUAUUUAAGAAAGGUAAUGUUUUAAUUAAAUUAAAUUUAUUUUAGAUAAAGUA